rnacentral:rRNA from 1 species
UCUACGGGAGGCAGCAGUAGGGAAUCUUCCACAAUGGGCGCAAGCCUGAUGGAGCAACACCGCGUGAGUGAAGAAGGGUUUCGGCUCGUAAAGCUCUGUUGUUAGAGAAGAACAUGCGUGAGAGCAACUGUUCACGCAGUGACGGUAUCUAACCAGAAAGUCACGGCUAACUACGUGCCAGCAGCCGCGGUAAUA